rnacentral:misc_RNA from 1 species
GAUGAAGAACGUAGCGAAAUGCGAUAAGUAAUGUGAAUUGCAGAAUUCAGUGAAUCAUCGAAUCUUUGAACGCACCUUGCGCCCUUUGGCCAUUCCGAAGGGCAUGCCUGUUUGAGUAUCAUGAACACCUCAACUCUUCAUGGUUUUCCAUGAUGAGCUUGGACUUUGGGGGUCUUGCUGGCCUGUGGGUCGGCUCCUCUCAAAUGAAUCAGCUUGCCGGUUUUUGGUGGGCAUCACAGGUGUGAUAACUAUCUACGCUUGUGGUUUUCCACCAGGGUAACCUUCAGCAGUGGAGGUUCACUGGAGCUUACAAAUGUCUCUCCUCUGUGAGGACAGCCCUUUGAAUGUGUGAUCUCAAAUCAGGUAGGACUACCCGCUGAACUUAAGCAUAUCAAUAAGCGGAGGA